rnacentral:lncRNA from 1 species
CAUGAAGUUAGGAUCGUAACCAAAGUGGCUUUCAAUGUAAGAUUUUAUAGAAAUUGGAUCAGACAAUCCAGGCACCGAUAUCUUCUUCUCAACAUCACCAUAUUGCGAUAUGAUCAACCCAUACACGGUCCACGCUAUGGGGCAGAUCCAAUAAUACCACACCCACCAUUUGGGAAUUCUCUGAAGUUCCAACAAAAAAAAAGUUUCAUUAGCUUUAUAUGUAUGUAGUUUAAAUUGAUUCUCUUAAUAUUUGAACUUGAAACGCGUCCUUACCGGUCUUGGGACAAAGAACCCAGAGAAGAGGUUGAAGAGUGCAUAGAAAGCUGCUGCAAAUAUGGCUGCUACAUGGUGGUUUGGUGUGAUGGACACAGUCAUCAUUCCAUAGUAUGUGAAGUAAAGGAAGGAGAAGAAGUUGAUGAAGUAAAACCAGAAGAACUUUGGAGCUGUCCAUUGAAAGCUGACCAUGGAGUACACAAUAAGAGUAUAGUAUGUUGUUUGAACAAGAAUGAAUGGGAUCUCUACCAACACCUGCAUUAUUCACAUGAUUCAAUUUCAAUAAUUGGUUCUUUAUAUCAAAAUAGCAUCAAAAUAUCUAAAGAUUCAUGGGGCAGCAGAAGAGCAAAACUAAUUAUUGAAAAUACUAAUAAAUUGGUUAAGUAACUCACCUGUGCAAGGGCAUAAGGAAAUGCAGAAUACAUUCCAGCAGCUCUUUCUCUGUAGAAUACAGUUCUCUCCACUGACACUAUGGGUUGUACAGUUUGGCAAUUAUUGAUUCCAACAAAUAAUACAGCAGCAUACAUGGCGCCGAUAAUCAUGGUGAGAUCGGUCGAACUAUCCCUGAAUGACACGCAAAUAGCAAUUUCAAAACGAGAUUUCAAACAAUUGAUGCUGAAUAAAUAGACAUCUCCUUCCAUAAUUAUUUGAAUAAUUGUUAGGAGGAAAUAAGAACGUACCUUUUGGUGCCAACUUUCCAGAAAACUGUCCCAAUCAUGAGAGCAGCAGCCAAAGUGAAAAAGUAUCUAACAAGGUUAUAAUCAGGACUUCUCCAGUAAGUCCACCAUUGUUUCCAAAGACAACAUUUCAACUGUCCCCAUGUCGAUUGUGAGUAUUGACUCUCAA